AUUGAACGCUGGCGGCAUGCCUUACACAUGCAAGUCGAACGGUAACAGGUUAAGCUGACGAGUGGCGAACGGGUGAGUAAUGUAUCGGAACGUGCCCAGUCGUGGGGGAUAACUGCUCGAAGGAGCAGCUAAUACCGCAUACGACCUGAGGGUGAAAGCGGGGGAUCGCAAGACCUCGCGCGAUUGGAGCGGCCGCUAUCAGAUUAGGUAGUUGGUGAGGUAAAGGCUCACCAAGCCGACGAUCUGUAGCUGGUCUGAGUGGACGACCAGCCACACUGGGACUGAGACACGGCCCAGACUCCUACGGGAGGCAGCAGUGGGGAAUUUUGGACAAUGGGCGCAAGCCUGAUCCAGCCAGGCCGCGUGCGGGAAGAAGGCCUUCGGGUUGUAAACCGCUUUUGUCAGGGAAGAAAAGGUUCUGGCUAAUACCUGGGACUCAUGACGGUACCUGAAGAAUAAGCACCGGCUAACUACGUG
rnacentral:rRNA from 1 species